AGUAAUAUGUCUGAUAAAAGAAAUAUUUUGAUAAAAUAUAAAUGUAUAUAUUUCAAUUAUACUAUUACUU